GCAAGUCGAACGCGAACGGAGAUUUCGGUCUCUUAUUAGAGUGGCGCACGGGUGAGUAACGCGUAGACAACCUGCCCUUCAGCCUGGGAUAACGUUCCGAAAGGAGCGCUAAUACCGGAUAACACUUUUAGUCUAGUGACUUUAAGUUGAAAGGUUUACCACUGAGGGAUGGGUCUGCGUAUCAUUAGUUUGUUGGUGGGGUAACGGCUCACCAAGGCUACGAUGAUUAGCGGGUCUGAGAGGAUGAUC
rnacentral:rRNA from 1 species